rnacentral:rRNA from 1 species
UACAGAGGUGGCAAGCGUUGUUCGGAAUUACUGGGCGUAAAGGGCGCGUAGGCGGCCCGUCAAGUCCCGUGUGAAAGCCCCCGGCUCAACCGGGGAACGGCGCGGGAAACUAGCAGGCUUGAGUUCGGGAGAGGGAAGCGGAAUUCCGGGUGUAGCGGUGAAAUGCGCAGAUAUCCGGAGGAACACCGGUGGCGAAGGCGGCUUCCUGGACCGGUACUGACGCUGAGGCGCGAAAGCGUGGGGAGCAAACAGG